rnacentral:rRNA from 1 species
UACGUAGGGGGCAAGCGUUGUCCGGAUUUAUUGGGCGUAAAGAGCGUGUAGGCGGCCAAGCAGGUCCGCUGUGAAAACUCGAGGCUCAACCUCGAGACGUCGGUGGAAACCGUUUGGCUAGAGUCCGGAAGAGGAGAGUGGAAUUCCCGGUGUAGCGGUGAAAUGCGCAGAUAUCGGGAAGAACACCCGUGGCGAAGGCGGCUCUCUGGGACGGUACUGACGCUGAGGCACGAAAGCGUGGGGAGCGAACAGG